rnacentral:rRNA from 1 species
UACGGGGGGGGCAAGCGUUGUUCGGGAUUACUGGGCGUAAAGGGCGCGUAGGCGGCCUUCUAAGUCGGACGUGAAAUCCCUCGGCUUAACCGAGGAACUGCGUCCGAUACUGAAAGGCUUGAAUCCGGGAGAGGGAUGUGGAAUUCCAGGUGUAGCGGUGAAAUGCGUAGAUAUCUGGAGGAACACCGGUGGCGAAGGCGGCAUCCUGGACCGGCAUUGACGCUGAGGCGCGAAAGCUAGGGGAGCAAACGGG